AUAAAACUGUGAAUUUGACUGAAGUCCAGAUGAAAAGCAAUCUACCUCCAGCUACAGGAAGGAGUCCUGUUUGUUUUCCAGCAGCAGCAGACUGCAGCAGAAGGUAAUUUUAUCCUCAGCAUUUAGUACAGCUACGGCACAUCUCACAAAAGAAAUCCAGAAUCGGCUCUGAUCAUCCUUAAACUAGCAGGAUCUGAGUCAUAUCCCGGUCUGGAAGGAGGAGUGGGAUAUGUUCAAAAAUGGGACUGAAUGACACACAUCAGGAGAAAAUCAUUUCACUGGAAGGAGAAGAACAGCUUGUCUGUCUUGAGUUAAGCCAUCACUGCAGUGAUUUGGAAUGGUAAAUGCAGGAACAUUCCGUGGAUAUAGCUGUGAGCUGACUGAACAAUUAUUCUGUAGUCAACCCCAAAAUUACACACAUGGGAACAUGCAUGUGUGUGUAAGCUGUGAAUUCCUCGUGGUGUGAGGAGGCAUCAUGGGUGUUAUGUUCACCUACACCAGUCAUCAGCCAAGCCAGCCAUGAUACAAAGCAAACAAUAUCAGUUCAACCUAGAUUGAAAUUAAAAAAAGCUAAUUGUAAAGCUAUCCAUGUUAAAAAUAAAUAAAAUAAAAGAUGAAUGUGUGGCUCUGUG
rnacentral:lncRNA from 1 species